rnacentral:lncRNA from 1 species
GACCGCCAGGCAAUGAGUAUUUAGUGGUGCUUCUACUUCAAUUAGAAGUGCUGGUCUCAGAACUUAACAAAGCUGUUCCUAACAUCCUUGCUGAAUCAAACCUUUUCUCUUGCAACUCCCAUCCACUGUCAGGCCCUCCUGUUUGAAAACCUAUAUGAAAUCAAAUGGAUGCCAGCUAAAUAGCACCCUCUCCAUCCCAAAUCUAGGGUGCAGCAAUUCCACAACAGAGGCAUUAACGGGUGGUGCAAGAUGAGAAACAACAAAACCCAGCAACAGAGGGAGGGGCUGAGCGCGGUAACCAUCUUUCAAGACACUGCUAGGAGGUGACACUCAGACAUCAUCAUCGACUGGGAUCAAGUGCAAGGUUCAAAGCAAGUUCUUUUACUUCAGCAAACAAAAUGAUGCUCCCAGUGGGUGGAUGCCAUGGAGGAAGGCCAGGAGACAGCAUGCUGGAGACAAGAUGACACAUAAGAGCUGAAAUGAGGGACUGAGAUGUGGAAAGAGACCAGUCAGGGCAGUGCUGGGGGCAGGAAAGAAAGGGGAGAACCGGGAUCAGAAGACGCAUGAUCCAGAAAAGACCUUGAAGUGUAGGGAUUAAUUUGAACCUGUGAACUUGAUCAGA